GCUGGUCUUCCUCAGAGGAUGUUUCUCCAACCUCUGCUUCAGAGAACUUGGUGCACUUAUUCUUCCUAGGGACCGGGCCCUGGAAACCAAAAGGCAGCUGGAAGCCAGGAGAGGGGGUGAGGAGCCCACUGGGCCUUGCAGCUGGAGGUCGUGUCUCCUAGGAGGAGCCUACCACUGGCUGGAUCGAUGUGGACACUGAGGCACUGAGAAUAAAGGGACCUGUCCAAGGGAGGCAUCCAGAGCUGGAAAGUGAGCCCCAGUGGGGGUUCAGCCCCAGAGCGUCUGGGCCCUGCCCCUAGGAGGCCGGUGAGUGAAGGGACUUAGCCCUAAGUCCCCGGGCCAGGCCGAGACAGGCGAGGGGCAUUUGCUGGGUAAGUGGUGAGGAGAGGGGGUGCCUGCCGCCUGCAACC